rnacentral:rRNA from 1 species
AUGCAGUCAUUUUUGCAAACCCAGAGAAGCUUGAAGUGGACACGCUGCUUUUUUUUGUUGAACAACUUUGGAGAUUCCAUAGGUUUAAAACUCAACCAGGCAAAAGCAUCUGUUAUUCCGAUCAACUGCGGAGGGAUUCAGUUAUAGGAGGUGCUACAAAAUUUUGGUGGCCAGCUGUCUGCUUUCCCGAUGACUUACCUAGGGCUGCCGAUCUCUCCAUGAAAGCUGCGACUGGUGCACCUUCAGUUCAUCAUUGAUCGGGUCUGCUCGAGGCUCGCGGGGCGGAAAGGCAGAUUGAUGAGCAUGGCCGGCAGGCGGGUGCUAGUGUGUAGAAUCCUAACAUCUCUACCCGUUUUUGCUCUAAUUAUACUCAAAGUGCCCAAGAAAAUCCUCAAGGAGGUGGACAAAACGCGUAGACAAUUCCUUUAG